GCGGGAAUAGCUCAGUUGGUAGAGCACCACCUUGCCAAGGUGGCUGUCGCGAGUUCGAGUCUCGUUUCCCGCU
rnacentral:tRNA from 3 species